rnacentral:rRNA from 1 species
CCCUUAGACACUCUAGGCGGCACGCGCGCUACACUGGGUGGAAGAACGUGUUACUGCCAUCGAAAGGUGGGGUGAAUCACGAAUUCUUGCCCGUGAAUGGGAUAGUUUGUUGCAAUUUUCGGACUUGAACUAGGAAUCCCUUGUAAGCAUGCUCAAGAAUAGCGUGUUGAAUACGUCCCUGCCGUUUGUACACACCGCCCGUCGUUUCUUCCGACUGAUACUCAUUGUGAGUUGCAAGGAUCCUUCAUUGGAGAAUUGCCGCGAAUGCUUUGUAUUGGAGGAAGAAGAAGUCGUAACA